UCCCCGGUAGCUCAAUGGUGGAGCGAGCGGCUGUUAACCGCUAGGCUGCAGGUUCGAGCCCUGCCCGGGGAGCCACCC
rnacentral:tRNA from 1 species